rnacentral:rRNA from 1 species
AUACGGAGGGUGCAAGCGUUAUUCGGAAUCACUGGGCGUAAAGGACGCGUAGGCGGGUUGGCAAGUCAGAUGUGAAAUCCUACAGCUUAACUGUAGAACUGCAUUUGAAACUGCUAACCUAGAGUAUGGGAGGGGGAGACGGAAUUAGUGGUGUAGGGGUAAAAACCGUAGAUAGCACUAGGAAUACCGAAAGCGAAGGCGAUCUCCUGGAACAUAACUGACGCUAAGGCGUGAAAGCGUGGGGAGCAAACAGGAUUAGAAACCCUAGUAGUCC